AUAAUUGAAAAUUUUUUUUAUUAAUAUAAAAAUAUUAUAAAUAUAAAAUUAAGCUCUAAAAUUAUAAAAUAUGUUAGCCAACAAUUAGCAUCUAGAGCACUUAUCUAACACUGUCAACCCAUCUCACUCAGCACUCCAAAAGCAUUAAUCGACACCUUUCUAAAACAUCUUCCUCCAAUAUAAACAUAAACCACUGCUUCCCAUCAUUCAAUCUCCACAGC
rnacentral:lncRNA from 1 species